rnacentral:sRNA from 1 species
CUUAUCUUUAACAUUUAAAUUGUUGUUAUAGACAUUAAGUUAAUAUUAAAUAAAAUGUUCUUAAAAUACUUUAAAUAAUAUUGUACCAAAAAUGUUUUCAAUAUUCUUUUUUCGUUAAUUUAUUGCUAAUACAGUCGACCUUAAAAGCAAAAGUAGAUUUAUAUAGCUGUUGCCGACAAAAAACAUUUCCACUAUAUUAAAAGAAAAGUAGAAUACAAGAUAGAAUACGAUUCUAAUACACGAAACCGAUAAAAGUUGAAACUUUUUUAAAACUAAGCUGGUGAAAACUAAGUCUUAAAAAGAAGCAAAGUAAGAGAAAAAUGAAGUAAAUGACAAAAGAAUCUAAUAAGUAAAUCUUAAAUUCAAAACCAUCAAAACCCGCAAACAAUCUCAGAGAAACAGUUGGCGUCGAACCUGAACAAAAAAAUAUAAGCUUAAAAGAACAAACAAACAGACAAUUUCCAAUAUACCAUAACCAUAGAAAACUUAAACUGAAAGCUCAACUAGUCACAACCGAGUAGAACUGAGAGAAUGAAUAAUCCAAAGACAUUAUCCUGCAAAGAUAUAAAAAAUGACUACUUCUAAUUAGAAAAUCUCAUAAGAAAUUUGAGUCUCUUUGGUUGAUUAAAAAAAUCACAUAAUUUUUUUAUAUAAUAUACCUUUGUCUUAGUAAUACAACGAACAAUAUAGUAUUUGACCUUCAUUGAGACAUAGCCAACGAUUUGGUCACCAAAACACCAUAUGAAGCAAUGACAUCCCUAUGGAAUAUGGAUCUGCCUCUCCUUUCCUCAAUUACACAUGUGAUAAUCCCCAAUUGGGAUCUACAACCAAACAAAUUACCCAUCUUGUUUUUGGCAAAUCUUUACCAAAAAUGAUCAAUAACUCCAAAACCAUCCUCAUUCUCAUUCUUAUGGAAUACAAGUCUCUCAAACCAAGUAUAGGAUCUUCAUUCUAUUUUCUAUGGAAUAAAACAUAAAUCUUUAAAAAGGGUGAAUUUUUUCAUAGCAGAAUAGGUUGAAACAUUUUAUGACUCUUUAUUUCAGCCCUAGGGGUGAACCUCUUUCAUUCACCUUCUCUUAAUUAACCAAUU